rnacentral:rRNA from 1 species
ACGAACGCUGGCGGCGUGCUUCACCCCUGCAAGUCGAACGGAAAGACCCUGCUUUUGUGGGGUGCUCGAGUGGCGAACGGGUGAUUAACACGUGAGUAACCUGCCCUUGACUUUGGGAUAACUUCAGGAAACUGGGGCUAAUACCGGAUAGGAGCUCCUGCUGCAUGGUGGGGGUUGGAAAGUUUCGGCGGUUGGGGAUGGACUCGCGGCUUAUCAGCUUGUUGGUGGGGUAGUGGCUUACCAAGGCUUUGACGGGUAGCCGGCCUGAGAGGGUGACCGGCCACAUUGGGACUGGGAUACGGCCCAGACUCCUACGGGAGGCAGCAGUGGGGAAUAUUGCACAAUGGGCGGAAGCCUGAUGCAGCAACGCCGCGUGCGGGAUGACGGCCUUCGGGUUGUAAACCGCUUUCGCCUGUGACGAAGCGUGAGUGACGGUAAUGGGUAAAGAAGCACCGGCUAACUACGUG